GGUGGUCUAAAGUCUCAACUCUCACUCUCUCAGGAAAGGGGUUUUGUAUGCCACAAAUGUGAAGUAAAAUUUUAAACAUUUGUCAUCAAAAUAAAUCGGUUUAAAACAUUGGUAAAAGAACUCGCAGGAAAUGAAGGUGUUUGUGGUAAAAAAGCAAACAACAUUAUCGAGCCAUCUUUCAUAAAGUGGAUUUUUCUCCAUUCCCAAAUUUUAGCUAUUACGGGAAGUGACUGCCCUCUUCAUAGUUGGACGUGUCGUCUUUGCAAGGAAAUAGGACAAAAUCACACCCAUUCUCUCUGACUGUCACGGAGACUCGCGACUCUUGAGGAUCGCUUCCUUUUAUAGUUUGGUUGCCUUUUUUACCAAUGCCAUUGCGUUGCGUUAAUCAACAUAGACGAAAGACCCUUAGAGUCAGGAUGGAUGGCGAUGGGAUCAGCUGGAUCCUUUUAUUCCGAUGAGAGUAUGUACCUUUUUAUUUACUUAAUGGUUUUCAGUGUGACGUCAUCCGCAAUUUCUCCUCCCAUAACCACAGACCAUUUAGCAUUCAUCUUCCAUGAAUAUUCAAUGCAAUGCGGCGGUUGUUUGUUUUUAUUAUUAUUAUUUUUAUUUUUAUUUUUUUUUCAAAUUUGCAUAUCUUUUGUGGUGGAAAAGAGCGAGCUCUGAUUGUGCAACAGUAGGGAAUUUUGGAUGUUGAUGUCAAUGUUGGCAAUUCUACUUUCAGCCGAAUACUUCCGUCCGUCUGUUUCGCUUCAGCAAACCCUUUUGAUAUCUCGUUCUGGCUCUAAAACUGAAUGAAAAUGAAAUCUUUUUUAUUUUAUGCAUUGACAUGCAGCAGCUAUGCGAAGUUAGGAAACGCAGUGGGAGAAGGCAGAGUAUUUUUGUUAAACUAAAAUUAUAUUAUUUUUUACGGAUAGUGUCUUAUUAUUCCAACACGAUACAAUAUCUAUAAAAUUUAAAUUAGAUUUGAUCAAACAACUAGUGAACUCGAGUGGUUUUGAUUGUUUGCUGUGAUUAGCCACGCCUCCAGUCGAAUAGAAUCUCGGAAAUUCGAGUCUUCUCGCGUGAGUAAGGAACAUUAAAAUGACGGUGGUUAAAGCACACGAUCCGAUAAAUAACGACCUAAUAGAGUGAGGUGAUUUUCUGCCAAAUCAUGUUUUUGGUCUUGUACAAGAUGAAUAUUUGAUUGCAUACAGUGGUCAUAAUUUCUUGGUUGACAAAGAUCAAUUAUAUGAUCCCAUCAACAAAGUUCCUGUAAAUGAAGUGAAGUUGUCAGACUUUAAUUUGUGUCGCCAACAUCUGGUUCUUUUUAAUGUACUGUACCUAAUAAGAUGCUUCUAGAAAUGAAAGGCUAUUUUCUACAAGCUGGCCAUCCACCCUGUUUUGAGACACAGUUUUCAUCAUUCAAGUCCGAGGGGACAUUGCGCUGGAUAAGAUAAAUGCUCAAAUCAAAACAUUGCCUCAAUUUAAAGACGUACGGCGAGAAUAGUUGAGUUUGGUGAAUUGAGUGCUCAAGCCAUUAUUCCAGGAAGCCAUCGGGUAAUUUCUGCCAUCUCUAAACCUAGAACGGAACACGUAUUUUUUAAAACUUCUUUGCAUAUUAUAGCGCAGUUUUUAAAAAAAGACAGCAUCGAACGUAUCCUGCACAAUGUAAAGGCAGUCAGUUGCGUGAAAACCCAAUUUAAAUAAUUUUAUUUUUUCUCCUUUCUCGCUGAUCUGCAAAUCACACCAUCCUCCCUUAAGUGAUGACGAGUGUUAGAAAUGUUUUAUGGCUCUGUAUAGCUCUACGCUACGCUCUACUUCAUCAACAACGCACUUGAUUCUUUCUGUUGGGUAUUCUUCGGAAUAAACUAUAAUUACCUAAAAUCUGGGGAUCAUUUAUCGCGACGUCAAACUGGAAAACAUUCUUCUUGAUUCACAAGGCCACGUUGCGUUGACGGAUUUCGGACUUUGCAAGGAAUUCCUUCCACAUGAAAAGAAUGCCAGGGCUGAUUCGUUUUGCGGUACCAGUGAAUACAUGGCCCCAGAGAUUGUGCGAGGUGGAGGCGCAGGCCACGAUAUGGCUGUCGACUGGUGGGGCGUUGGAGUGCUAACAUACGAGCUGCUAGCAGGCGCCUCUCCCUUUACAGUCGAAGGAGAGAAAAACAACCAACAGGAGAUUUCCAGGUAAUGAUUCGUACCUAAAAAAAAAACGCUGUUCAUGACAAAUAACAACAUGCAUUUGGUUAGCAAUGAUGAUGAGACAUUUGAAAACGGCCGUAAGACCCGAAUUUGUUUGUCAUUAACAUUUGUUAGAUUUUCAACAUUACGUGUUGCAUGUAUUGAUUAUUGAAUUGAUAAUUUGACCGAAAUUAUUUUGAUUUUUGUGAAGACAAGAUGGCUGUAACCAAGUCUGAAUUAUGGGAAUAUUAUAUAUAUACAGUACUACAAUGA